AUAUAUAUAUUUGCUUAACAUCGAGAAUAGGAUUCAUACUCUAGUAACGGCUACUUGUAAAUUUGCGAUUUGUAAACCCUAUUCGAGUUUUGAACACUGAUUUUACUCAGAUGGAUCAUGUAAAUCACAGUCAAAUGUGGGAUUGUCAAGAAGGAUAUGUUAAGAUCCAAAAGGAAAGCAAUCUGGAUUGUUUCUCUUAUAUGCAUAAUGGAGAAUCAACCCCAGUUAGGGCUUGUGGGGAUUUGACUUAUCAUGG